rnacentral:rRNA from 1 species
GACGAACGCUGGCGGCGUGCUUAACACAUGCAAGUCGAGCGGUAAGGCCCUUUCGGGGGUACACGAGCGGCGAACGGGUGAGUAACACGUGGGUGACCUGCCCUCAGCUCUGGGAUAAGCCUGGGAAACUGGGUCUAAUACCGGAUAUGACUCCAUGACGCAUGUUGUGGGGUGGAAAGCCUUGUGCGGCUGAGGAUGGGCCCGCGGCCUAUCAGCUUGUUGGGGGUGAUGGCCUACCAAGGCGACGACGGGUAGCCGGCCUGAGAGGGCGACCGGCCACACUGGGACUGAGACACGGCCAGACUCCUACGGGAGGCAGCAGUGGGGAAUCUUGCGCAAUGGGCGAAAGCCUGACGCAGCGACGCCGCGUGAGGGA